AAUGGGCUGUUCUCAGAUUAAUUCUGAGAACUCUGAAGCUGAGUUUAAUGAUGUUUCUUAUGCCUUGUUUGUAACAGAUUUCCUCAGGGAAAAAGAAAAGGGAGGGGAAAAAAACAACCUAGCUUCGAAGAACUGUUUGUAUCAUUUUUGACAGUAUUGUUACAUGCUAAAGUAGUGAAGACUCCGUGAUGUUCUAAUACAGUUUUGCAGUCUGUGCUGUUGCUUAAUUGAUUUUUCACUUGGUUGCAGGUGACUGCACUAGGGAUGAUUGUAGAGAGAAGCUCUACUUGCAGUUCUAUCAACAGAUGCAGAAAGAAUGAGACCUUCUGACUGUCACUGUUGCCAUCAGCAAGGAGCAGAAGUAGCACCUGCUAAAGGAUUUGGACUUGUGGGGUAUUUUUGAUAUCAACCUGCAAAAUGCUCACUGCUUGGAUGGACACCUGUCCUUUCACCAAUGCCAGCUCUUCAUGUUAGCCAAGUACAGCACCAAUGGGGAACCUAAGAAGGUUCUGUUG